GACGGAGCAACGCCGCGUGAGGGAGGAAGGCCCUUGGGUUGUAAACCUCUUUUCUGGGGGAAGAAGAACUGACGGUACCCCAGGAAUAAGCAUCGGCUAACUCCGUGCCAGCAGCCGCGGUAAUACGGAGGAUGUAAGCGUUAUCCGGAAUCAUUGGGCGUAAAGCGUCCGCAGGUGGCUAUUCAAGUCUGCUGUCAAAGCAUGGAGCUUAACUCCAUAGAGGCGGUGGAAACUGAAAGGCUAGAGGCCGGUAGGGGUAGUGGGAAUUCCCAGUGUAGCGGUGAAAUGCGUAGAGAUUGGGAAGAACAUCGGUGGCGAAAGCGCACUACUGGGCAGGACUUGACACUGAGGGACGAAAGCUAGGGGAGCA
rnacentral:rRNA from 1 species